rnacentral:rRNA from 1 species
CCAUUUAAAAAAACUAUUGUGUUGAUCCUGGUCUGAUCUUGGAAGCUAAGCAGAGUCGAGCAUGGUUAGUACUUGGAUGGGAGACCACCUAGGAAGACCAGGUGCUGUUGGC